GCCUCGGGCAGUGACAGCGCGGCCUGCACGGAGGACGUGAACGAGUGCGCCGACAGCCGACCGGCCUGCUCCCACGAUCCGCCCGUGCCCUGCAUCAACACGCCCGGCUCCUUCCGCUGCGGGGCCUGUCCGGCAGGUUACACGGGCAAUGGUUUUUCCUGCACGGAUGUGGACGAGUGCCUGCAGUACAAUGGUGGCUGCAGCAUGAAUCCAAUGGUGGACUGCUUUAACACAAGGGGCUGGCGACGAUGUGGGGCGUGCCCAGCCGGUUACCAAGGCAACGGAGUGGUCUGCCGCGUAGCAGCGGGCGGGAUCUGCGGUGUCGGUAACGGCGGAUGCCACCCUCUCGCCCAGUGUUACCACAACCCAGCGAUAUCGGCCAGUCAUGUGCAGUGCACUUGUCCGUCGGGGUACGCCGGCUCGGGGCUGGGCCCGGCCGGCUGCGUGCCGC